ACAGGAUUCUUCUGCGAGCAAGCCUUUACUGUGUUACAGCUCUUCUUAGUGUUACAGCUCUUCUUAGUGUUACAGCUCUUCUUAGUGUUACAGCUCUUCUCAGUGUUACAGCUCUUCUUAGUGUUACAGCUCUUCUUAGUGUUACAGCUCUUCUCAGUGUUACAGCUCUCUUGAACAGGGACCCCGAGCAGCAAAAUCGCUCGACUUAUAUAGACAACUGUAUGCUAAUUAUCUCUCAGGGAUUGGUGGGGCUUGGAUCACCCCACUACUUGUCCUCCAGUGAUUGGCAGAGAAUGAAUCACCUCAUUAGCAUAUUAACGGUCAACUGACACCUGGUGCAUAAACCGCACAUGUGCAGUACCGCAGUUCACCACUAGAGGGAGCCCUAGCAAGGGACAUCCUGCACAUGCCCAGGGUCAUCAUGAGACGCAAAGGAACAGAUGGAUAGAAGUGUGGGAAUCCCGUCCAGAUACCCUGCUGGGAAAUGUGCAUGUCACGCAAGUCACUUCCUUGCUGUCUCAGCUGCUCGGCCAACAUUAUCACUGUGGAGAGAGGAACACUCGCAAAGAAGCACAAGAAUGCAGAAGCAGCAAAUGGAUGGUUCAGAGGCUGGCGCUGAUGAAGAUAACCAAUAGCCCAAUGGUGCCACCUUUUCCUAAGAAGAGAUGGGGCACAGCCAGCCAGCCACAGUGCAUUACUCUCGUCAGCAACAAUCAUGGUCUUAUCAUAAUCAGAAACCAUUGUGCAGUUAGGAUGAAGCCCCGAAAUGACAAUCAUCUCGCCAUUGUCACACGGUGAAUGGACCAUCAUACCAUCAGAGCAGAAAAGUGGCCCCAAAGCGCUCUCUUAAGUAAUCCUGCUGAAAAGAUUAGGCACCAGCAGCCCCAAGGAUGAGGAAACCCUGAAGAGGUGAAGGCAGAAAGAUAGCUAAGAGGCAGAGGGGACGGAGAACAAGGAAACGAGGCCCUCUAAACAUCGCAGGACCAACACACCAGUGAACUCGCAGAGACUGUGCCCAUAAAGAGUCUCCGGCUGAGAGGGAGAGUGGCUAUAAAUCCCAUCCCUAACCCAGAAACCGUCUCUGACUGAUAACUGCUCACAAAUACUCCGUUUUCUCCAAUGGAGUCUCACUUGGUAUGCAAACCGAUGGCUCGAUCUUUUGUGGGUUUUUUUUUUUAAAGUAUGCAUUGGUGUUUUGCCUGCAAAAACCACUCCUAAGGGCAGGUCCUGUGCCCAGCAGCAGAUGAGCAGUACAAGAGGAAUUCAACGCCAGUUUUUGGAGGUUCUUUGUCUCGCAAUGCUUUGUCGGAGCAUUUGUUCAUUCCUUCGUGCGUUUACUCUUUUAACGUUAUAGGUCCUUUGUGUCUGUAUCGUGGUUUCCCAUUUUGUGUUUUUAUGAGAUUUCUGUGUGGGGAAA